UCAGAUUUAGGGUUUGACGUUCCUCCAUGUUCCACAUCGCCGUUCAAUUUUGGUCGCGAGUAAAAUUGUAGCGGGUGUCUUCGCCUCUGAACCUUUGCCUAUUGUGCUGUUAACCAUUCUCAGCCUGGCUUCAGAGACGUGACUCCCGCUACGCAUUUGCUCGCCAUCUCUGCUGCUUCCAACAAUCAUUUUUCUCCAAGCUUUGAAGAGGGAAGGAACGUUUCUUAACCUUCGAAAUGUUAAUUUACGCUUUGAAUCGUCAUAGUGUAUAGAUCUAUGAAAUUCGCAACAUAACUCCUUUUUUUUCACCCUCAUGAUUAGGAAUUGAACAAAACUAAGGAAAAUUCGCAACAUAACUCUUCUUCUUCGGUCAACAGAUAAAUUGAUAAAUUCAAGUUAGGAAAUUUUAAUUCCGGUUUAAUUGUUCAGCUUGUUGAAAGUUUUCUACUUCGAUCUAACUUUAAUUAUCAGUGUUUAUAGGAAACUUGCAGCUUCAGUGGUAGAUGCAGCCAACUACCAUGGAUCCAAGCUUCAAGAUCUCUCUUUCGAAGAUCUACUUUUUUUUUUUUAUAUAUAUUUUCUGUCGUGUAUAUUUAUGUAUUAUAAUUUUUAAGAUGACUGAGUUGCCUGAGUUGUUGUUGGACUAGUUUCGAAGUCAAUAAUACAGUGUACUUUGAGACUGAUUGCCUUUUGCUCUUUGAGGCUUGGACGCGGCCCUUGGGAGACUCCUCUUAUUUGGCUCAAUUGUUUUGUGAUUGUCGUAGUUGAGCUGCUCCUUUUGAUUCUGCUGUUUUUUCUUUUGUUCGCCGUGAUAGAAAUAGUGUUGUUGAGGUCUCAAAUGUGAUUUUUCAUUUAGUCCAUAAUGAUGUAAUGACCUUUGCGCCUAAUGUUUCUUCUUCUUAAAUGAAAAAUACUGCUUAGCUUGCUUUACAGUUAGCCUUUCAAUAGCAUAUGAUGAAUUCGCAGUAAACUGUUAUCUUUGGUUGUCUUUUUUCUGUUAUUGACCUUUCUGCUGUCCCUAAUCCUGAGAUCUCUUCUUGCAUCUCUCCAAUUUAAAUUUAAAUUCAUGUAAGACUAGUGAGAUCACUUCUUGCAUCUCUCCCAUUUAAAUUUAAAUUCAGGUAAGACCAGUGUUAUCAAAUAGCGGCUAUAGCGGUGCUACGCCGCUAUAGUGUAGCAGAUUUUUGGCUUAUCACGACGCCGCUAUUGCCCACUAUAGCGCGCUAUUCGCCGUGAAAUAGCGGCCGAAAUAGCGGAUUUUUGGCUCAUCGCGAUGGUCAAUGAUUGCGAUUUGACUACCAUCGCGAUUUGACAACACUGUGUAAGACGCAAUUGCUUAAAAGAAAAUUAGAAUUUUGGUAAAAAUGCAGCUAGGCUUUGAGUAUAUCCUUGGAACUUGUAGACAUCAAGAAGACCUUGCAUACUGUUAGUACAAUCUAUCAGAAUAUAGGGAUAAUUUUAAAUUCAAAUUCAAUCAUCUUGGGCUGGAUUAGUGGUUUUGCUUUUUCUUUUUAAAUUUGAGUGUAAUAUCAUUCAUUUACCUAAGAUGCACUCUGUUGCUCUAUUUCUGUUGAAAUAUUAGCAUUUGAAAAUAGGUUGACAUUGUUUGUUGAAAUAUUGAUGUUUAUUGACAUUGUUUGGUAGAGAUAUCAAAUAACUGCUUUUUGUUGCUUGGUAGGAAGUAUGCACAAUAUAAAAUCCUUCAAGGCUGUGAGAUUGCAAAGUACACAUGUAUCAUGAAGUAGCUUGAAGCACUGUCACCCUUUGUCACUAAAUUCAUUUGACAUGAUCUUUAGGGAAACAUCUUUCUGCAUAACUUUAAACAAUAUAUAAUCUGUUCUUUAUGCUGGGGUUUUAUAUGUAGAAGAGCAUUGACAUUUCCUAUCAAAACAUGUGGGAAGAAAAAUUGUAUUUUUUGGACUAAGUUGAUCUUUAAAGUGGACCAGAUGGAGAGACCAAGACGCCCAAGUACAGACGGAGGGUCGACUAUACUCACAAGAUAUGCAGCCUCUUUCAAGACAUGUGUCGUUCUGUGUGAAGGCUGAUCGUACUGAAGAGGAAAUGAAGGUUUCUUAGCUUCUUAUAUUUUAAUUUCUUGUAUAUCUAACGCUUUGAACCACAACAGUUUAUGGAUCUUUGGAAAUUUGUAAACUAGCUCUUGUUUGACCGUUUCAUUCUUUGAUCGCUGAUGAGAAAGUAUACAUUUUAUCAUCAUGCUCAGGAGUUGAAUAUAACUUAAAGAGACAUGGCCACUUGUGAAUUUUUCUUGUAUGCAGUUUUUCUAGGAACAUAGCAGAUUCAAUGGCAUCAACACGACGGAAGUGGCAAUCCAGAGAAAAAGCAGAGGAAUAGCUCCAAGUAGUCAAAUGAGUAUGCAUCUAAGCUUCAGGAUUUACCCUUCAGAACGUCUUUUUUCAUUUCUUAUCCUCACUCUCGUUGGUUUAUGUACUAAAAAUAUUUAUUCCUUGUUUGUCUGUGGUGUUGUUAGCGAGGUUUUCAUAGUCAACUAUAUGAAAAUGCUGCUAAAUUUUCUUUGUAGUUAGUCCUUUCGAACUUGGUUGAUGAAUCUGCAGUAGUUAUCGGUCUUCUGCAGUCCCUAAUCCUGAGAUCUGUUCUUGCUGGCCUCUUACAUGUCCCCAAUUUGAAUUCAAGUUCAUAUAUGCAGCAGAUACGUAGAAGAGAAUUUGAAAUUUUGAACUACCAAAAAAAUGCAUUUAGAGUUUUAUGAGGCGCUACAAAUAUACAAGAUAUGAACAAUGUUAAGAAGAAUGAAUCAGUGUACAAACAGAAAUUCAAAUUCAAUCAUAUUGGGCUGGAUUAGUGGUUUUGCUUUUUACUGUUUACCUCAAUUGAGUGUAAUAUCAUUUACUUAAGAUGCACUCUCAUGCUCCAUUUUUGUGGAAAUUUUAGCAUUUAACAA